UACGUAGGGGGCAAGCGUUGUCCGGAAUCAUUGGGCGUAAAGCGCGUGUAGGCGGCUUGGUAAGUCUGCUCUGAAAGCCCGGGGCUCAACCCCGGGAGGCGGGUGGAUACUGUCAAGCUCGAGUCCGGAAGAGGAGUGUGGAAUUCCUGGUGUAGCGGUGAAAUGCGCAGAUAUCAGGAGGAACACCAAUGGCGAAGGCGGCUUCCUGGACCGACACUGACGCUGAGGCGCGAAAGCUAGGGGAGCAAACGGG
rnacentral:rRNA from 1 species